GAUGAACGCUAGCUACAGGCUUAACACAUGCAAGUCGAGGGGCAGCGGAGGAGUUAGCUUGCUAACUUCAGACGGCGACCGGCGCACGGGUGAGUAACACGUAUCCAACCUGGCCGUUACUCGGGAAUAGCCUUCCGAAAGGAAGAUUAAUGCUCGAUGGUAUAUAUUUAUCGCAUGAUUUCUAUAUUAAAGAUUUAUCGGUAGCGGAUGGGGAUGCGUUCCAUUAGAUAGUUGGCGGGGUAACGGCCCACCAAGUCUUCGAUGGAUAGGGGUUCUGAGAGGAAGGUCCCCCACACUGGAACUGAGACACGGUCCAG
rnacentral:rRNA from 1 species